rnacentral:rRNA from 1 species
AUUGAACGCUGGCGGCCGGCCUAACACAUGCAAGUCGAACGAGUGGCGGACGGGUGAGUAAUGUCUGGGCAACUGGCUGAUGGAGGGGGAUAACUACUGGAAAAGGUAGCUAAUCACGCAUACUCUCCGCUGUGCCCAGAUGGGCGUAGCUGGUUGGUGGGGUAAUGGCUCACCAAGGGGACGAGCCCUAGCUGGUCUGAGAGGAUGACCAGCAAAACUGGAACUGAGACACGGGCCAGACUCCUACGGGAGGCAGCAGUGGGGAAUAUUGCACAAUGGGCGAAAGCCUGAUGCAGCCAUGCCGCUUGUAUGAAGAAGGCCUCCGGGUUGUAAAGUACUUUCAGCGGGGAGGCGUUACCCGCAGAAGAAGCACCGGCUAACUCCGUGCCAGCAGCCGCGGUAAUUC